GAUGAACGCUAGCGGCAGGCUUAACACAUGCAAGUCGAGGGGCAUCACGGGUAGCAAUACCUGGUGGCGACCGGCGCAAGGGUGCGUAACGCGUGAGCAACAUGCCCUAUACAGGGGGAUAAUCCAGGGAAACUUGGUCUAAUAUCCCAUAGCAUUUAGAGGUGGCAUCACCAUUAAAUUAAAGCUUCGGUGGUAUAGGAUUGGCUCGCGUGACAUUAGCUGGAUGGUGGGGUAACGGCUCACCAUGGCUAUGAUGUCUAGGGGUUCUGAGAGGAAGACCCCCCACACUGGGACUGAGACACGGCCCAGACUCCUACGGGAGGCAGCAGUGAGGAAUAUUGGACAAUGGAUGGAAAUCUGAUCCAGCCAUGCCGCGUGCAGGAAGACGGCCCUAUGGGUUGUAAACUGCUUUUAUAUGGGAGCAAUAAGGUCUACGAGUAGACCGAUGAGAGUACCAUAUGAAUAAGCAUCGG
rnacentral:rRNA from 1 species